AGAAAAUGUAGGUAAUCAAGCAUAAUGCCCAUUCAUGAUUUUUAAAAAAGCUCUUAGUAUACUGCAGAUUUUCUUAGCCUAAUAAAAGAAUGCUACCAAAAUAUUCGAUUCAAUACUGUAAUAAAAGGCUCAACCUUUGUAAUAAGAGAAGCAAAAGUUUUUAAAAUGUAAGACAACAGAAAAAAAUAAAAAGAAAUAAAAUUGUCUUUAUUUGCAUAUGAUGGUUAUCAACACAGAAACUUCAAUGACCCCUACCAACUAAUAGAACUAAGAAAGUGAUUAUGUUUUGGAGUAAACAAUUGCUGUGAAGUAAUCUAUAACCCUUCUAUAUAACAAAGUAGCAAUAGCCAACUUGAAAUUAUAAUAAACAGAAAGAUCUUAUCAGUAAUAAACUCUAAACACCUAGUAAAAAAAUUUAAAGUUGUAGAAAAUUUUGUGGAGAAGAUGCAAAGAUUAUUGAAAGUGAUGUAUUAGGGUUCUCCAGAGAAAUAAAAAUGAUAGUACAUAUAGAAAGAGAUCUAGUAUAUGCACUUAGCUCACGUGAUUAUGGAAGCUAAUUCCUACUAUCUGCAGUUUACAAGCUGGAUGUCUAGGAAAACUGGUGGUAUAGUUCUAGUCCAAAGCUUAGGGCCUGGGAAACAGGGUAUGCAAUAGUGCAAUUCCUUGUAUGAGUCCAAAAGCUUGAGAACCAGGAGAAAUGAUGUCUGAGGGAAGCAGAAGAUGGAGGUUCCAGCUCAAGCAGAGAGCAAAUUUACCUUUCAUUCAUCUUUUUGUCCUAUUCAGGAUCUCAAGGUUCCUGUCCAUAUCAGUGAGGAUAUUCUUCUUUACUCAGUGUACUAACUCAAAUGCUAAUCUUUUCCAGAAACAUCUUCACAGACACACUUUGGAAUAUGUUUUACCAACUAUUGGGGCAUCGCUUAGCCCAGUGAAGUUGACAGAAAAAUUUAUCACAGGCCAUAAAGAAGACUUUAUUGUAUCAGACUUCGUGUUCAGGUGGAACUCCCCAUUCCAUAAUGAUUCUGAAUGAAUGAGGCAUCACUGUAUCAGGCCAACACAAAACCGAGAGUUAAAAUGAAGCAAGGACUUACCAGCUCCUAAGCAUAAACCAUACCAACGUAAUGUAAGUAUAUUCUUUGCAUAGUACUUUCUCCUCCAGACUUGCUUGAAGACCAAAAUGUCCAGAAAAAGAAAAGAUUGGUCUCCUCGUUUUGAUGCAUUGAACUUGACAGUAUCUUUCUACACAAGAAAGUGAUUAACCAUGCUUCAGCUCUGUAGCAUUCAGGAUUGUGUGGGCUUUGCUGUGGUAACAAACAAAUUUUGGAAUCUCAGUG
rnacentral:lncRNA from 1 species